AGAGUUUGAUCAUGGCUCAGAUUGAACGCUGGCGGCAGGCUUAACACAUGCAAGUCGAGCGGAAACGAUGGUAGCUUGCUACCAGGCGUCGAGCGGCGGACGGGUGAGUAAUACUUAGGAAUCUACCUAGUAGUGGGGGAUAGCACGGGGAAACUCGUAUUAAUACCGCAUACGACCUACGGGAGAAAGGGGGCAGUUUACUGCUCUCGCUAUUAGAUGAGCCUAAGUCGGAUUAGCUAGAUGGUGGGGUAAAGGCCUACCAUGGCGACGAUCUGUAGCUGGUCUGAGAGGAUGAUCAGCCACACCGGGACUGAGACACGGCCCGGACUCCUACGGGAGGCAGCAGUGGGGAAUAUUGGACAAUGGGGGAAACCCUGAUCCAGCCAUGCCGCGUGUGUGAAGAAGGCCUUUUGGUUGUAAAGCACUUUAAGCAGUGAAGAAGACUCUUCGGUUAAUACCCGGAGACGAUGACAUUAGCUGCAGAAUAAGCACCGGCU
rnacentral:rRNA from 1 species